rnacentral:rRNA from 1 species
GAUGAACGCUGGCGGCGUGCCUAACACAUGCAAGUCGAACGGAGUCGUUUUGGAAAUCUCUUCGGCGAUGGAAUUCUCGACUUAGUGGCGGCCGGGUUAGUCACGCCUGAGCAAUCUGCCUUUAUGAGGGGGAUAACACUCGGACACGGCUGCUAAUCCCGCAUCAAGCAUUAGAUUCGCAUGUUUUUGAUGCCAAAGGAGCACUCCGCUUUUAGAUGAGCUCGCGUCUGAUUAGCUAGUUGGCGGGGUAACGGCACACCCAGGCGACGAUCAGUAGCCGGAGUGAGGGGUAGAAGGGACACAGGGAGACAGAGACACGGCAGAGACUCAUAGGGGGGGCAGGAGGGGGGAAUAGUGCGAAAUGGGGGAAACUGUGACGCAGAAACGCCGCGUGAGUGAAGAAGGCCUGGGGGGUGUAAAGAUCUUGAAUCAGGGAAGAAACGAGUGACGGUAACUGAAGAAUAAGCACCGGCUAACUACGUG